rnacentral:lncRNA from 1 species
CGCCGGACCAGCCGGAGAUUCAUGCCCUGGCGCCGCCGGACCAGCCGGAGAUUCAUGCCCUGGCGCCGCCGGACCCGCCGGGCAUGGAUCAGAUCGCUCCACCGGCUCAUCAGCAGGACGAAACGUCGAGGAGGAUGGUCGUUUCGCCGCCAUCGCUCUUCUCGCCGCCGCCGACGCUCUCUCCCGGCCUAGCUUAGGGUUUACUAGCAAAAGGGCUCAUGCGUUGCAAUGGGAGAAAGAAAUACCAUACGCUUUUAAUUUAUAAAAAAUGGUCUAUAAUCUGAGAAUUUGUAGUUACGACACAAAUAAAGAUGGUCUUAUCUUACAAAAAUG